rnacentral:tRNA from 1 species
GGUAAAGUGGCCGAGAAGGUGGCGGGUUGUAGCCCCGAAGACAGAGGUUAAGCCCUCUCUUUACCA